AUAUGAGGGAAUAGCUUGUGCCACAGAUUUUAGUAGAACCAAUUUUCCUGCCUUAGACAUCAAAUUUUCUUUCCACCCUCACUACUACACUCAUUGCCUUUAAGGACAGCCGACACAUUUUCAUUGAGGUGUCGUAAUACCCUUACGAGGACGACCUUAAAAAAAACCGGGAGCUGGCCCGCAUUUUUUUCUGUCAAAAAUUGAACUUUCUCUUGCUGCAUCUGUACCUCGUCAAAUGAACCGAACCAAAUUAGAGCUCAGAUUCUUUAGCUCUGGGUAAAUCAAAUUCACUCACCGCGGAUGGAUUUAGGGAUUAUCUUGUCGAACCCGAUUCAACGGACGAGCUGGUGUCGGCCUCGUCCAAGCAAAGCACUUGAUCGAAGCAGCAAUAUCACCAUAUUCCCCUCCACCUCCGUCGCUCAAUCUGAUGAAUAUGAUUGCAGGUUCUCAAAAUAUGGGGGGAGAGGUGGUAAAGAUUGACAUUCAAGAUUGUGGUUUCAUAUCAUAGUUCCUUUGAUGGGUGGCAAAAGCAAUAGGAUCUCUACACUGUCCAAAGUGUUGUUGAACAAUCUCUGGGGAAAUUUGUUGAUGAGAAUAAAGCCUAGAUGUUGAAGACAAAGGAUUACCUUUGGAAAGGGCUGCUACUGUACGGAUAAAGGAGUGACAACCCUUAAUCAAGUUUGUUCUUUCUGUAGUUUCAGACCUUACAAGCUAAGGGCUGUUGAUGCGCUUCGUCAGGCACUUAACUUAUACCAGGAGCUUCUUCCUCCCAAGCACGAUGAUUAUCAUAUGAUGCUGAGGUCUAUUCCUCUUCUUUUUCCCCAAGUAGUUUGUUUAUUAUCGGAGUGGAUUGGAUUUUAUGUUGUGGUGGUGCAGGAACAAAGUGGAUGUUAGAGAACUUGCAAUUCAAUUUGGGUGUGUUCAGAUCAUUCUCUUUGUUCCAAAGGGUUUAUUCCUAUUCGACCAUUUUUUAGUGGCACUUAAGGGUUGGUGUAAAUGUUGAUUCACACCUUCAGACAUUUCCUCCAUCUAAGGACUGAGGCACAAGGGAAGAUCUCUAGUGGUGCUCACCCUCCUCAUGAAGCAGAUGGUAGCUGAUCAGUUCUAUGACAUUCUACAUAAGCACUGCAGAAAAGUAGAAGUUAAACUUGUAAAAUGCAUUGUUCAAAGUAUGAUUGUAGAUAUAUCCUUCAAUCAGUUAGGAGGACUUUGUACACUACGCUUUCUUGAACAGGUUGAUCACUAUAUUGGCAAAGAUCAUAUUUUCAAACGCAGCAUUAUUCUGAUAAAAGUGUUGUGCUACUAUGAGAGUCGUAUUCUUGGUGCUCAUCAUGGUUUAUUUUCAACAUAUGUGCUUUGGAAACAUUAGUCCUAUAUAUAUUCCAUCUUUUUCAUUCUUCUCUAGAUGGGCCUUUAACGGUCCUCUACAGAUUUUUGGAUUACUUCAGCAAAUUUGAUUGGGAGAAAUAUUCUGUAAGUUUAAAUGGACCAGUUUGCAAAUCUUCCCUACCUGAUAUUGUGGUUAAGAGAUAUCUCUUGUGCCUGUAAUGUUGGAUGGCUGUUUUGUAUUGUCCUGGUCUCUGAGUUUCUUCUCUCUCUGAAGCUGAAGUACCAGAUAAUGGAGGGGAUGAUGUACUGCGAAGUGAAGAGUUUAUUAGAAACUGUGUAGACAUGUUCUCUACUCCAACAAUUAAUGAUAUUGAUGAAUCUGAUGAUGAAAGGUUGUGAUUGAAGAUUUUGGGAAUCAGAUUAAGCAACUAUAAACCUACAAGCUGCAGUAGAUUGAAUUACUUGACUAGAAUUGUUGAAUUGUAAUUUGUUACACUUUAGAAUUUUUUUUUGUAGAUGUAUGGAUAUGAUAUUCUGGUUAAGUUAAUAAUGCAUUUGGUGGUGUAUUUUGAGCUG